rnacentral:rRNA from 1 species
GACGAACGCUGGCGGCGUGCUUAACACAUGCAAGUCGAACGGAAAGGCCCUGCUUUUGUGGGGUGCUCGAGUGGCGAACGGGUGAGUAACACGUGAGUAACCUGCCCUUGACUUUGGGAUAACUUCAGGAAACUGGGGCUAAUACCGGAUAGGAGCUCCUGCUGCAUGGUGGGGGUUGGAAAGUUUCGGCGGUUGGGGAUGGACUCGCGGCUUAUCAGCUUGUUGGUGGGGUAGUGGCUUACCAAGGCUUUGACGGGUAGCCGGCCUGAGAGGGUGACCGGCCAGAUUGGGACGGAGAUACGACCCGGACUCCUACGGGAGGCAGGGGUGGGGUAUAGAGCACAAUGGGCUGAAGCAUGAUGCGACAACGCCGCGUGCGGGAUGUGGGCAAUCGGGUUGUGUACCGCUUUCGCCUGUGACGAAGCGUGAGUGACGGUAAUGGGUAAAGAAGCACCGGCUAACUACGUG